GGUUGAGUGUGGCAUAGUGGUUUGAGCAUUGGACCGUAAUUUUGGAGAACAGGGUUCGAAUCCCUGCUUGGCCA